UACGGAGGAUCCAAGCGUUAUCCGGAUUUACUGGGUUUAAAGGGUGCGUAGGUGGGUAGGUAAGUCAGUGGUGAAAUCUUCAAGCUUAACUUGGAAACUGCCAUUGAUACUAUUUAUCUUGAAUACUUUGGAGGUAAGCGGAAUAUGUCAUGUAGCGGUGAAAUGCUUAGAUAUGACAUAGAACACCAAUUGCGAAGGCAGCUUACUACACAGUUAUUGACACUGAGGCACGAAAGCGUGGGGAUCAAACAGG
rnacentral:rRNA from 1 species